AAUAUACUAUCUCCUCGAUGUAAAACACGUAUAAUUUUUCCCAGAAUCAAGAUAUAAGCAUAUACAUAAUAUAUAUAUAUAUAUAUAUGAAAUCAUAUCAAUUCAAUUUAUUCUUCACAUAAUUAUAUUCAAAUGUAUGCCAUGACAAGAUAUAACAGAGUAAGCAAUUCAGGUAAGAAUAAAUUCAUAGAAAUAUGAUAUGUUAGCCGGAACCCCUGUGGUAGUCUGUACAGCUGAAUUCAUAGCUCAAAAGUCAAUCUAGCCGGAGUCACUACAAUGACCUAUACGGCAAUAUACUGCACAUAAGUCGGAACCACUAAAAAGGGGUAUGUACAACAAGAUUGGGUGUAAUAUAAUUAUGCUCAAUUUUACUCUCUCAUAAUAGCCGGGCGAUAAAUCGCUAGUCACCUCAGAGUCGGAACCAUAAAUAAGGUCUCUAUGACAACACUGUGCACUUAAGUUGGAUCCAAUAUGAGCAUAUAGUGCGGGAGGUGACGUAAAUAAACAGGCCUGUACUUCAUAUCUCUAACUAAAUCAUAAUCACCCUAGGUACAGUUUUAUGAGCUCAACAUUAUUCAAUCACAUAUCACAUCAUCGAUGAUUCACAUAACCAAACAUAAUUUACCUGAACUUACCUAUGCAUCCACAACACCACAUUUAUAUAUAUAUAUAUAUAUAUGCAACCAUGAAAUGCAUAUUCAGAAUAUAAAAGCAAUUGGCAUAUUAUUUCAAAGCAUACUUUCCUUAAAAAAUGCAUUUUUGGGAAAUAUAUCAAGUAUAUAAAUAUAUACUGAAAACAAAAGCCCACUCACUGGUAUGUCGAUGGGUCGUAACCCCCGAGUUGCCCGUGGAUAUGCUCGUUCUCGGGAUAAGGCUCACCUAUAUGCGAAUUAACUAUAAAAACGUUAUUUUAAAGCACAUAGGUAAAACUAGCUAAUAACUUCUCAUACAAUGCUCAAUUUGGGUAUAUGAAUAUACCACAAUGACCUACACAACCUCAGGAUCAACCCUAAAUUUUCAAAAUAAUUUUCUGACCCCGCACACGCCGCAACGCGCCGACCAAGGCACGGCAAUAGGCGCGGCCACGCGCAGGGGAUCCUGACGGAUUCUACAAACGGCGUCAGGAAUAUUCCUCAGAAUAUUCCGUUAAAUCCUAAUGGUAAUAGUCCUUCCUAACUGACGGCGUCAGAAUAUUCCGUCCAAACUGACAGAAUAUUCUGUCUUCGUCUCCGGCGAGUUGCCAGUCGACGGAAAGCUGGGAAAAUUUCUAAUCGUCUAUUGUCACUCAUUUUUCAACCAUUUUCUUUGAAAUUUGAACCAAAUGAAAGCCUAUAGUGAGAAGAAUGGCGUUAUACCUAUUUGAAGCUUCAAGUCUCACAAAAUCACGUCGGGGAAGCUUCGAAAUUCCGACCAAACCUGCAACUCUUCAUUUCUCAUGAUCUCGACGUCCAAAUUCUCCCAAUAAAAUACCCCGAGCUUCCUUAGGACCUCCUAAAGCUCACUAUGAGCUUAGAAUUCCCUAAAAAUAACAUAUUUACGUGUGCUUAAAUAGUGCACAAAUCGAGGGUUAGGUUUCACGGGGUUUUUGAAGGUUUCAGGUUCUCAAACUUGUACCAAUGGAUUCCUGAGGUCACAAGGAACACAAAAAUGCUUACCUUGGUUUCGAUCUGCAAGGUUUGGGAUGGUUUCUGGGUUGCCCAUACAAAAAUGCUGAGAGGGAGAGAGAGAAGGUAUGUGUGUGGUCCCAAAAGCCACCAAUGAAAACCAACCAUUCCCUUACUUCCAAUUGGGUCCAAAAACUUAGGGAAAAUAAUAAAUGGGUCCAAAUCCAACUUAAAUCACACAAUACACUUUAACAUCCAAGGGUAAAAUUGUCAUUUCACGUCAUAAAAAAUUUGUUAUUCGGGAAGGGCUGUGACAAUCUCCCCACCUUAUAAAAUUUAGUCCUCGAAAUUACAUACAACCACUACAUCCACUAAUAAUCAUAAAACAAGCGUGGAUACAUCUCUCUCAUCCGAUCCUCUAUCUCCCAAGUAACUUCUUCUACUGAAUGAUUUCUCCAUAAUACUUUCACCAAGCGUACGGUCUUGUUCCUCAGUUCUUUAUCCUUCAAAUCCAACAAAAUCACUGGUUCCUCAUCAUAAGUCAAAUCUGGAUUAAUUUCCAGAGGUUGAGGAGAAAUCACAUGUGAAGGAUCUGAAACAUAAUGUCGAAGCAUCGAAACAUGAAAUACAUCAUGCACCUUGGACAACUCUGGAGGCAACUCAAGCCUGUAAGCAACCUCACCGACUCGCUCGGUGAUCAUAUAUGGUCUAAUGUACCUAGGACUCAACUUUCCUUUCUUUCCAAAUCGUACAACACAUUCCAAGGUGAUAGCUUCAGAAAUACCCAAUCACCUUCAUUAUACUUCCGAUCAAUGGCAUGCUUGUCUGCUAAACUCUUUUGUCGAUCUUGGGCCGCUUUCAGGUUAGACUUUAUUACCUGAACAUUUUGAGUAGUCACAUCCACAAUCUCAGGGCCCACUAAAACUCUUUCGCCAACCUCUGACCAACAUAAAGUCACACGACAAGAUUUCCCAUAAAGUUCCUCAAAUGGUGCCAUACCAAUACUCGAAUGAUAACUGUUGUUGUAGGCGAACUCCAUCAAAUCCAAACAAUCAUGCCAACUAUCUCCAAACUGCAGCACUGGAGAUCUCAACAUAUCCUCUAAUGUCUGAAUAGUUCUCUCAGAUUGUCCAUCUGUCUGAGGGUGAUAUGCCGUACUAUAAAGCAAUCUCGUACCAAGAACAUCCUGGAAUGCUAUCCAGAACUUGGAAGUAAAUAUGGGAUCCCGAUCCGAGAUAAUAUUAAUUGGCACACCAUGAUACUUCACAAUCUGCGAUAUAAAUAACUUAGCUAAUCGGCUUAACGAAUACUUCUCCCUUACUGGAAUAAAGUGUGCUGACUUCGUAAGCCGAUCAACUACCACCCAAAUGCUGUCAUAACAAUUCUGUGUACGAGGGAGCUUGUACACAAAAUCCAUAGCAAUAUUUUCCCAUUUCCACUGUGGAAUGGGAAGUGGCUGCAUCAACCCAAACGGCUUCUUCCUUUCAGCUUUAACCUGUUGGCAAAUGGCACACCUACUCAUAAUAUUCGACAAUUUCUCUUUUCAUACCUAGCCAAUAAUAAAAUGGUCUAAUGGUAUGAUACAUUUUAGUGCCUCCUGGAUGCAUCGCAUAUGCCGAAAUAUGUGAUUCAUCCAAAAUUUCUUUCUUUAACUCUGCAUUAUUUGGCACAUACAUUCUACUUUCCUACAUAAGCAUACCAUCAAAUUCUCGAAUCCUGAAAUCUUUCUUUUUUCCUUGAUUUCUUGCUUGAAUUAUUUCCUGGGUCUCUUCAUCAAUCAUCUGAGCCUCGAGCACACGAUCAAUUAAAAUUGGCCUGACUUGAAAAUUAGUAAGCAAAGCUUCUUCUCGAUCUUCCACUCAUAACUCCACUCCAGUGGACCUCAAAUCUGCUAGAAGAGGAACAUGACAAUCAUAGAUGGUAUUAAGUUUGGCUGGAGUCUUUCUACUAAGUGCCUCCGCCAUUGCAUUUUCACGACCAGGAUAAUACUCAAUCGUGCAAUCAUAGUCACUAAGUAACUCAAUCGACCUCCGCUGUCGAAGAUUAAGAUCUCUCUAAGUAAACAAAUACUGAAGACUCUUAUGAUCUGUGAAGUUCUUACAUUUCUCACCAUAAAGAUAAUGUCUCCAAAUCUUCAAAGAAAAGAUGAUAGCUGCUAAUUCCAAAUCAUGUGUAAGGUAAUUCUUCUCAUGAGGUUUCAACUGUCUCGAAGCAUAAAUAAUCACCCUACCAUGUUGCAUUAAUACACAACCCAAACCAUUCAAAGAAGCAUCACUAUAAACCUCAUAAUUACCGCUAUCAUCUCGAAGUGUUAGAAUAGGAGCAUGAGUGAGAUAGUACUUCAACUGCUGGAAACUUUGCUCACAUUUAUUAUCCCACUCAAACUUAACAUCCUUUCAAGUCAACCUCGUCAAUGGCAGAGCAAUCACUAAAAAAUCCUUAACGAACCGUCUAUAAUAGCCUACUAAGCCAAGAAAACUUCGUACCUCGGUGACGGUUCGAGGUUGUUCCCAAUUCUCCACAGCUGCCACCUUCUGAGAAUCUGCUUGAAUGCCUUGAGAAGAAAUGACAUGUCCCAAAAAUGCUACUUGAUUCAACCAAAAUUCACAUUUGCUAAACUUAGCAUAUAGUUGGUGUUCCCUCAAACUACUCAACACCAACUUCAGAUGUCUAACAUGCUCAGCCUUAGACUUAGAGUAUACCAGAAUAUCAUCAAUGAAGACAAUAACAACCUGUCCAAAUAUGGCUGGAAUACUCGAUUCAUUCAUAAAAGCUGCUGGUGCAUUAGUUAAACCGAAUGGCAUCACAAGAAACUCAUAAUGACCAUAUCAAGUCCUGAAUGCAGUUUUAGGGACAUCUUCAUUUAUAAUCUUCAACUGGUAGUAUCCCGACCUUAAGUCAAUCUUAGAAAAUACACAAGCACCUCUGAGUUGAUCAAAUAAAUCAUCCAUACGAGGCAAUGGAUAACGGUUUUUAAUAGUUACUCGAUUCAAUUGCCUGUAAUCAUUGCACAACCUCAAAGUUCCAUCUUUCUUCCUCACAAAUAAAACUGGAGCUCCCCAAGGUGAAGUACUCGGCUGCAUAAAACCUUUAUCCACUAACUCUUGUAACUGCACUUUCAAUUCUCUUAAUUCAGCAUGAGCCAUUUGAUGCGAUGAAAGUUAAGCACUCAAAUUAAACCCCCUUGUUGUCAAAUUGUAGUAAAAAUGCAAGUAGGGAUCGUUCUAAACCGAGGAUUAUGAAGGCUUGCUAAAACCUCUAAACUAACUCCAAAACAUAAAAAAAAGUUAAAAACGUUUGAAUAGACUCAAGGGACUCAAAACAGAUUCACAAGACUCAAAACAACUUAAAAACACUCAAAACUGCCUAAAAACACAAACUAGGCAGUUUCUGACUCUAACACAACUUUAGACGAAAUUUGGGUUUUGACUUGACUCAAAACACUCUAAAACACAAACAAAAAAGAUUUUAAACACUUUGAAACAAGAAAGUAAAAGGGGGAUUUUAGUUUUGAUGAAUUGGAAACAAACAAACAAGUUAUAAAAUUAGACAGAUUGUAAAGCGAAUUUAAGAAAUGAGAUGAUGGAUGGAUUAGUUAGAGGUCCGUUCUUCGCACAUGACACACUUGUACAUGAAUUGAUUUCCAAUUGCUUUCCAAUAAACUAUGAUGCUCAACACCCCAGAUUAACCGUGAUGCACAAAUUAACCUUCAGAUUUUCCUUUACUCAUUAAAUUGGAUGAAUGCAUGCGACAACCCAAAUCAUUCUCUAAAAGUCCCCUAUAUGAAUGCAUAAUAGAGAUACAAUCGGAGAUCAUUACGUUCAAUGAAAAUCAUAAGUGUUGACGAGGCAAUUAUAACUAUGAAUGCAUGAUACAAUUGCCAAGAAUUCAAUUAACGCGAUUGUGAUAAACAAUCUUCACUACUCAUGAAUAUAAACUUGUAACGAUUAGGUGAAACUCAUUUAUAUUCUAGCAUCUAAUUCAUGCAUGAAAACUAAGUAUGCAUCCUUAAUAAACAUACAAGAAUUAGUUAUGAAUAAAAUAGAUAAUUGAAUUGCAAUCACAACUUAUCAAAUCACAAUUGGAAGAAAUCAAUUCAUAUCUCAAGCAUGUUCAUGGCUUCAAACUUCCCCCUAACUAAAUAGGGGUUUAGCCACUCAUAAUUGCAACAAAAUUAGAAAAUAACAAAGUAGACAUUGAAAGCAAGAACGAAGUACACCUAAAACGCUCCAAAGUUCCAAGCUUGAAAUGCCAAGGACCUUUGUUUUCACCACUUUGUUGUAACACAAGUGUCUAGGAUGUGUAUGGAUAUAUAGAUGGAAUGGAUUUGCACGGCUAAGAGAUGAUAGUGUAUGGAAUGGUGAGAUGUACUAUGGCUAGGUGAAUGGAUGGAGGUCACGGUAAGGAAAUUGUGUUUGUGAAUGAAGUUGUGAGAUGUGAAAUGUAGUGUCUUUGGAUGAUGGCCUCCAAAUUAUGGUGAAGGGUGGAUGUAUUUAUAGGCUAGGGAGAGGAGUGUUGGAGUUGUAAUGAGUGGAUGUAAUGGGUGUAUGUGGUGUGAGUGGUGUAAUGGAUGUGGAGUGUGUUUGGUAAUGAGUGGAUGUAAUGGGUGUAGUGGGUGGAUGUUUGGUAAUGAGUGGAUGUAAUGGGUGUAGUGGAUGAGUGUUGGUAAUGAGUGGAUGGGUGUGUGGUAGUGUUUGGUGGAGUGGAUGGGUGUAGUUGGGUUGUGGUAAUGAGUGGAUGUAAUGGGUGUAGUGGAUGAGUGUUGGUAAUGAGUGGAUGUAAUGGGUGUAGUGGAUGAGUGGAAUGUAAUUGGUGGUGGAUGAUGUUUGGUGGAAUGGAAAAUGUGGUGGGAUGAGUGGAUGUGGUAGGAAAUGGAUGUGUUGGGUGAAAUGAGUGGAUGUAGUGGUAGGUGAAUGGGUGAAUGUGGAUUGUGGUAGGUGUGAAUGAGUGUUGUGCUGAAAAUUGUGUUAUUUAUAGGGAAGAGGAUGAUGCACAAACUUCAAAUUUCAUCCAUUCCUUUUGCUCCAAGCAUAUGCUAUCCAUUUCAUGCCCAAAAAUGCUCCAAAAUGCACUUCUUUGCCACAUUAACCCUUUGGACCUACAAACACACGAAAAUAGCUUAAAAUACUAAAAUAACUACGAACUAACAACAUAAAUGCCAAGAAACAAGCUAACUAAGUCGCAUAAAUAUGCUCCUAUCAAAUUCCCCCAUAUUUAGCUUUUGCUAGUCCUCGAGCAAAACAAAACAAACAAAACAAAACAAAACAAAACACAACCUAGACCUUCCAACAAUUGCCUCAGGGAUUUUUAAUGAAACAUGACAUGUUAAAAAUCAUCAUUCCCAUAGUUUUUGGUCAUCCUUACACUUGAGCACAUACUUAGAGUCACCACUUACUUGUUUACAAUUAACCAAUUAAAACGAUGUUUUGAAUGUAGUAACAUGCCUUAGAGAAUUUACUCAAUUCCUUACAAGAUACUCUCUAUUUUCACACACAUUUUCUAACUACACACCCUACACUAGUUAUAUGUGAGAAGAUUGAUGUAAACAUGAAAACGAACACUCACAUAUAUGUAUAACAAAGAGGGCAAUUUUUUGGAGUUAUUCAGCAUGUUUAGAUAUGAUCUCAUGAAUGGAAUGCUACUACUUAGAUGCAAGAACCAGUGACACCAUAUGCUCAAACCAAUUCCAAACUCCACAUAUUGAAACGCAGAACACUCAAGAUAAAGUUAAGAGUUGUAACGGGGUUUAAGGGUAAUGGCUAACAAAGAAAGGAUAAGGAUAACAAACGUUCUGAAAGCAAUAGCAAGCAAAGUAAUGAAAUAGACACUUGGAAUUCACUUAAUAAUGCAGAAAUUAACUUUUAAACACAAAGGGAAGAUUCAAGCAACACUUAGGGCCGAAUUCAAUGUUUUGGACCCUUUCUUCAGCAAACAACACUUUAGAGCUCUUUUUUCACAUAUUUUCAUUUUUUUCAACUCUUUUUCACUCUUUUCACAACUUUUCUUCUUUUCAUUCUAUUUUCCACGAAUGUUUCUUUUUUUCUUUUUCUUUUCUACCCGUGCCUUAUUAAGGACUUUGGCACACACAUACACAUACACAAGAAUCACUUCCCCCACACUUGUUUUUCUGCAAAAGUUCAACAAAAGGAAUUCCUUCUAAAUUAUGUUUUACUAUGCUUCAAGAACAAGGGUAUGGAUGGUCCUAAUCUAGGCUAGGUGAGGAUAGUGUGGGUUAACAAAGAACAUAGGCUACAAAAGGCUCAACGGGGUUAAACUUAAACACAUAAUGAAAUAGGGCACGGCAAUUUGGCUGUGGUGGUCACUACACAACUUCAUCUUGAAUAUGUGUUAUGCAAAUCAAUAGCAUGCUUUGAAUGAAAUAGGCAUGAGUUCUAGCAUUUGGAACUAAAUGAUGAAACACCUUCUAAGUAGCAACCAAGCAAAGAAUAAUGAGAUCAUGCAACGACUUUAGAAAACAAUAGUGCACAGAUUAUUAACUCUCCAAAUAAACGUUUAGGCUCAAAUCUCACAAGGUUGUAGCGUUCAUUUGAGUUCCUUCCUUCAAGCAUGUUACAAAAAUUGAUUUUUCCUUUAUGAUUGCAUGUGAAUUCAUAAAUUAUAACCACAACCAAGCAUACACCAAAGAGUACAUCAAAUUUUCAUCCAUGUUUAUAACUCUCUUUAACAGUCAUGUAAUUAAAAACCAAAUCCUCAUCAUUGUGUUGGAAGGUACCCUAAGACACAAAUAAACAUACAAAAACAACUCUUUUUGGGUUUUUCAAAACAAUUUUUUUCAAAUUUUUAUGAGAUUUUUCGGAUUUUUAUGUCAAAACACACUGAAACACUCCAAAACAGCUUAAAAACACUUAAAACAGCAAGGAACAACACUAGAAGUAAUGGGUGAUAAACUCCUACGAAUUUCAUGCAAAACAAUGGUUACCCCCCCACAUUUAAAUCAAACAUUGUCCUCAAUGUUUCAAGCAUAAACUCACACAAAAACAAGCAAAUAAACAAACAACGAAUAAACAUGACAAGUAUAGCAAAGUACAAAAAAAAAAACAGACAGAGUAGAGUUUAAGAACGCAAAUCUGGUUUUGGAGAUAGAUGAUCUUGUUGACUUUCCACAGCUUUGAUCUCGAACUGGUUUGGAAUUCUGAGCCAGGAAUACUAGAGUUCCUUGGUUUCAAAUCAGACUCCUUCUGCUGGGUUGAUUUGAUUGUGCAGACUGCAUUCUUCUUUGGUUGUUUCUUCUGCACGGCAGGCAGGCACGAGGUAGAGGUGUUGGUCUGUUUCUUUCUUCAAUCUUUCCAAGUGCCCACCUCUUGCUUUCUUUCUCCUUGUCCCUAGCUGAGGAUGAAUUGGCAAAUUGUCUCCACAUGCUUCGAGGCAUCAUUUUCACUUCCCUUAUCUGUUCCCCAGGCAGAUGUGGUAGACGAAGAGGAAACAUAAAAUGAUGAAGAUGAGUACUCGAGAGCAAGGCUAGGUAAGCAAUCAGGAAGGGGUUCCAGGCAGUCUGUUCCAAAUCAGAAAAUUGAUACCAAGUGCUGGCGGAUUGCUCUCUUUCUCAUUGUCCCAAAACAACGACAAGGAGAAAGACAGGGAGAAAGCAUGAUAUGAGAUACUCUUGCUUUCAACCUUCAUGAUAUGAAAUACUUUUUCUUUGGAUGAGUUGUUUGCAGAUGUACCCCAAGGACUAAGGAACACUGAGUGAUUCGAGAGGAUUUGUUGGAAAGGCAUUCUCGGAGAAGAAGAAGGGUUAUGUAUGUCUGCCUUGCAAUGGAGGGUGAGGGGUGACAUUUAUAGGAAUUAAUAACCUCUACUAUUCUUUCACUCAUGUCAGCAGCCGUUGGAUGAUUUAAUAGUAAACUUCACGUGUUUUCUACUUCACAAGAGAUCUUUGACAGAUUGCCCAUAAUUUCCGCAAGGCUAAGUGUGCAUGUGACAGGCGCUGACACGUCUAGAAAAACAAGUGCCUCUUCGAUAUCUGGAAUCGGUGCUUUGACAAACUGCCCGUGAUUUCUGCAAAGCUGACUCUGCAUGUGACAGACGUUGACACGUUUGAAAAAACAUUUCGACAAACUGCCCGUGAUUUCCGCAAAGCUGACUCUGCAUGUGACAGAUGUUGACACGUCUGGAAAAGCAGAUGGUUGGAAUUGGCGCUUCGAUAAACUGCCCGUGAUUUCCGCAAACCUUACUCUGCAUGUGACAGAUGCUGGCACGUCUGGAAAAGUAGAUGCCUCUCCGUUAUAUGGAAUUGCCUCUUCGAUCUCUGAAAUCCCGUCAAGUGCAGUGGUUGCAUGUGACAAGUGCAGACAAAUCUGGAAAAGAAGAUUGGUCGUGGUUUCUGAGCAAGCCCAGCUUUUGAGAAAGCUAGCGCCUCUUUGAUUUUUGAGUUUGCCUCUUCGAUUUCUGAGCUCGCCUCUUCGAUCUUUGAAAUCCCAUCGAGUGCUGAUUUUUAUAAAGGUACGCAGGACGUUCAAAGCACACUUGAAUUUCUGCAUGUAGAAACUCCCUUCUUGCACUUCUACGAUCUUGACUUGUCCGACCUCUUCUUUCUUUAACACCUCUGAAAAUGUAUGGCCCCUCCGACCGUCGUUUUGACUUGAACCUUGGUAAAGAGGCAGUCCCGCCUUCUCCAGACAACAUAUGGCGCCCAUCCUUCAUAUCCCCUACUGGUCCCCUUACCGUUGGGGAUUCGGUGAUGAAGAAUGAUAUGACAGCUGCGGUGGUGGCCAGGAACCUUGUCACUCCCAAAGAUAACAGACUACUUGCCAAACGGUCUGAUGAGUUGGUUGUAAGGAUUCUCUGGCUCUUAGUGUGCAGUGCGCAGGUUCCGUGUCUAAUAUGGCCCAACGCCUAUUUGCCUGAACCCGUCAAGUUGAAUCAUUGGCGGCUGAAGUGAUGAGUCUCAAGCAGGAGAUUAGAGGGCUUAAGCAUGAGAAUAAACAGUUGCACAGGCUCGUACAUAACUAUGCUACAAACAUGAAGAGGAAGAUUGACCAGAUGCAAGAAUCUGAUGGUCAGAUUUUACUUAAUCAUCAGAGGUUUGUGGGUUUGUUCCAACAGCAUUUGCCUUCAUCUUCUGGGGCUGUACCACGUAAUGAAGCUCUAAAUGAUCAACCUCCAAUGCUUCCUCCUUCUAGGGCUCCGCCGACUACUGAGACUUCUCCUAAGCAGCCUUUGUGAAGGCUUCCUCUUGUAUUUAUCUGCUUAAUGUUCCUUUCUUUCUUUAUGAAUGUAAAAAUACCUUGCAUAACUGUCAGUGUUUCAAAAAUAAACCCACACCAAAAACAAUUAAACAAGCAACAAAUAAAAAUGACAAUCAUGGCAAAAUAAAACUACAGAAAAGGGAAGGUUUUUAGAAAUCAAAACUGAUUGUGGAGCGAUUCAAAAAUCUUCCUUAUUUGAAUACAUGGGUUGCCUCCCAAGAAGCGCUUGCUUUAACGUCUUCCAGCCGGACGAAACUUCCUUCUAAACUUGGAUAGGGCCCAUAGCAUGGAAUUGAUCCUUGAAUGGAAUGUGAUACUUGACGUGAUCCGGCAAUGGCUUAAAUUCUAGUGUAGGUGCCUGAAUCAUCAAAAUCAGCAAGUUAGUAUAUAAUAAAAUCGAAGUUGGAGAAGAUGGCUUUACUUGCUUGGUCCAACACAAACUCAAUUACGAACACCACAUCUUUGAAGGUUGCAGGGAUAUGGGACUUGGCCAGAUCUGGUGUUUUGAGAGUUAUGACUUGUCCCGUGUCAUAAAAUCCAACUUCUUUGGGAAUUUUUGUCUCAAGCGUAUCUUCUUUGAUGAAUUCUAGACAUUCCCCAUCCACUUCUUGCUUUUGAUUCUUUGGAAAGGUUUCGAAGAUGCCUUUCUCACCCUCUUCUUCCUUGGAUUGCAUGAUCCUGCAAGGAAUAAGGACAUUUGGUGAAACGGGGUCAGGACAAAUUGAAUUUAGGCUUACCUUGGUUGUAGUGGACGACAUAGAGGGCAUAUGGGGUUGCGGCAAGGGUGGUUCUUCCCUUACCAUGGCCUUGUUAUUCUCCUCUUCUUCGAGCAGCAGCUGUUCAUCCAUGUUUUGGCUUGGUUUGGAUGUCUUGGGUUCACCUCCAACCUCCAUAGCACUUCCCAAAGUGAUAGCAUCAUGGAUUUCAAAAUCUUCUUUCAAAUUUUUAACAGUUGAGUUAGAGAAUUCACUUUGCUCUUGAAUUUGUGCCGUGAACUCCAUAAUCUGCCCAAAUUGCUUUUCCAAUUCACCCGUCUUCUUGGCUUGAUUUUGCACCUCUUUGUUUUGGUUUUCUACAUCCUGGUUCAAAGAGGUGAGUAACUUAUUAAACAUAUCAUUAUCCAAAGAUGUACCUGAAUUGAAUUGGGCAGAUUGUUGUGGUUGCUGUGAUGGUUCAUAUGGCCAGUGAUAGAACUCAUCUUCUUGCUGCCAAUAUCCAUCUUGUUGGAAUUGUUGCGGUAAUCCACACAUAUAAUCUGAAUAAUCUCUCCAAUCCGAAUUGUAAGCGUUGGAAAACAUGUUGUCCCAUGAUUGGCUAUGGCUUUGAUAACCCCAAGAAUCUUUAUUCACAGUGAAUUGAGAACAUUGAUGAGUUGGAUAUCCUUGCCCAUAGAACACACCACAUGUAGGGACACUUUGCAUUGUGGUCCUUUCGGCAUAUUGUGACAAUUGAGAAUUACGUUUUGCCAAUUGAGCUUGAAUGGUAGCAAAAUCCAUGUCUUACUUCUCUAGUCCCUAAAAUCAAGGGAACAAAACUAAAUCAAAUAUCACAAGUAAAAAUAAAAGACACAAAUAGAAACAAAGUCAGUAACUAAAACAAAAAACAUGAAAAAGAAACAACGGGGGAUUAGCAAAGUUGCUAAUCCCCGGCAACGGCACCACAAUUUGAUGCGAUGAAAGUUAAGCACUCAAAUUAAACCCUCUUGUUGUCAAAUUGUAGUAAAAAUGCAAGUAGGGAUCGUUCUAAACCGAGGAUUAUGAGGGCUUGCUAAAACCUCUAAACUAACUCAAAAACAUAAAAACAAAGUUAAAAACGUUUGAAUAGACUCAAGGGACUCAAAACAGAUUCACAAGACUCAAAACAACUUAAAAACACUCAAAACUGCCUAAAAACACAAACUAGGCAUUUUCUGACUUUAACACAACUUUGGACGAAAUUUGGGUUUUGACUUGACUCAAAACACUCUAAAACACAAAAAAACAAAAUAGAUUUUAAACACUUUGAAACAAGAAAGUAAAAGGGGGAUUUUAGUUUUGAUGAAUUGGAAACAAACAAACAAGUUAUAAAAUUAGACAGAUUGUAAAGCGAAUUUAAGAAAUGAGAUGAUGGAUGGAUUAGUUAGAGGUCUGUUCUUCGCACAUGACACACUUGUACAUGAAUGGAUUUCCAAUUGCUUUUCAAUAAACUAUGAUGCUCAACACCCCAGAUUAACCGUGAUGCACAAAUUAACCCUCAGAUUUUCCUUUACUCAUUGAAUUGGAUGAAUGCAUGCGACAACCCAAAUCAUUCUCUAAAAGUCCCCUAUAUGAAUGCAUAAUAGGGAUACAAUCAGAGAUCAUUACGUUCAAUGAAAAUCAUUAAGUGUUGACGAGGCAAUUAUAACUAUGAAUGCAUGAUACAAUUGCCAAGAAUUCAAU
rnacentral:lncRNA from 1 species